rnacentral:lncRNA from 1 species
GAAAAAAGAAUAAAUAACUUGUCCGCUAAAUAGGGGUAAUCUUGUCAGAUGAAAGACUUUUAGUUAUAUUUAAAAAAAAAUAGGGAAAUAUGACAUUAAAUUGGUUCUGUCUUUUUUUUUAAACAUCGUUAAAAAGAUGUGUGUCUAAGGUGAACGCCACAAGAACCCUGUAAUACUAGUACGAGAGUAUAGCAUGUAAACAUUCCUUCUCAAUAAUAUGGUUGUAUUGGAAAUCUUUUCAUACAGAUUGACAACUCAUUGUCCGAUAUGCAUGUAAUAUUUGCCACAUGACGCCCAUAGUUCUUUCUACCAUCAUCAUCUUAUUCUUUGAUAUUGCUGUCAACAUCGAUGGUUCACACCCAAACAAAAGGGGAGUAAUGGACCUUCAGAGCUUCUCCGUGUUAUACACUUGUGAAAU